rnacentral:rRNA from 1 species
UACAGAGGGUGCAAGCGUUGUUCGGAAUUAUUGGGCGUAAAGGGUGCGUAGGCGGUGCGGUAAGUCUCUUGUGAAAUCUCCGGGCUCAACCCGGAGCCUGCAAGGGAAACUGCCGUGCUUGAGUGUGGGAGAGGUGAGUGGAAUUCCCGGUGUAGCGGUGAAAAUGCGUAGAUAUCGGGAGGAACACCUGUGGCGAAAAGCGGCUCACUGGACCACAACUGACGCUGAUGCACGAAAAGCUAGGGGGAGCAAACAGG